GUAAAAUAUCGCACCUGUGAUGUCUUUGUUUAAUUAAACUAACAUACACAUUUGAAGAAAAGGGGGUCGGCCUAUUCCAGGGCUUCUAGAGAAAAAUAAUGAGGGGUGUCACGGGGUAUGACUAUAUAGGUCUUGUAGAGGAGAAACAGGCGCUUCUUUUGCGCAAGGUAUCAAGGGCGCUAUGUUCAAAAAUCUGAAACUAGAGCUCAAAAUUUGAAAAAAAAUGGUAAAAAAAGGGGGGUCGGCCUAUUCCAGGGCUUCUAGAGAAAAAUAAUGAGGGUGUCACGGGGUAUGACUAUAUAGGUCUUGUAGAGGAGAAACAGGCGCUUCUUUUGCGCAAGGUAUCAAAGGCCGCUAUGUUCAAAAAUCUGAAACUAGAGCUCAAAAUUUGAAAAAAAAUGGUCAAAAAAACAGGGGGGUCGGCCUAUUCCAGGGCUUCUAGAGAAAAAUAAUGAGGGGUGUCACGGGGUAUGACUAUAUAGGUCUUGUAGAAAAGAAACAGGCGCUUCUUUUGCGCAAGGUAUCAAAGGGCGCUAUGUUCAAAAGUCUGAAACUAGAGCCCAAAAUUUGAAAAGAAAUGAAAAAAAAAAACAGAUUGGUCGGCCUAUUCCGGGGCUUCUAGAGAAAAAUAAUGAGGGGUGUCACGGGGUAUGACUAUAUAGGUCUUGUAGAGGAGAAACAGGCGCUUCUUUUGUGCAAGGUAUCAAAGGGCGCUAUGUUCAAAAAUCUGAAACUAGAGCCCAAAAUUUGAAAAAAAAUGGUAAAAAAGUAGGGGGGUAGCCCUAUUCCGGGGUUUCUAGAGAAAAAUAAUGAGGGGUGUCACGGGUAUGACUAUAUAGGUCUUGUAGAGGAGAAACAGGCGCUUCUUUUGCGCAAGGUAUCAAAGGGCGCUAUGUUCAAAAAUCUGAAACUAGAGCCAAAAUUUGAAAAAAAUGAAAAAAAAUAGGGGGGUCGGCCUAUUCCAGGGCUUCUAGAGAAAAAUAAUGAGGGGUGUCACGGGGUAUGACUAUAUAGGUCUUGUAGAGGAGAAACAGGC
rnacentral:lncRNA from 1 species